GACGAACCGUGCGAACGUUGUUCGGAAUCACUGGGUUUAAAGGGCGCGUAGGCGGGCUGUCAAGUCGGUGGUGAAAUCUUUCGGCUCAACCGGAAAAUUGCCUUCGAUACUGGCGGCCUGGAGGGAGGUAGGGGCAUGCGGAACUUCCGGUGGAGCGGUGAAAUGCGUAGAUAUCGGAAGGAACACCGAUGGCGAAAGCAGCGUGCUGGACCUUUUCUGACGCUGAGGCGCGAAAGCGUGGGGAGCGAACCGG
rnacentral:rRNA from 1 species